CGUAUCCGGGUUUUCCGGGAUCAGGAGCGGCCGGUCCAAUUGCUUGGGCGAAAGCCUGACUAUGCGACGCCGCGUGAGGGAUGAAGGAUUUCGGUUCGUAAACCUCUUUUGGCAGGGAAGAAAAAGUUGCAGUUAAUAGCUGCAAAACUGACGGUACCUGCA
rnacentral:rRNA from 1 species